CCUACGGGAGGCAGCAGUGGGGAAUAUUGGACAAUGGGGGCAACCCUGAUCCAGCCAUGCCGCGUGUGUGAAGAAGGCCCUCGGGUUGUAAAGCACUUUCAGUGAGGAAGAACGCCUGGUGGUUAAUACCCAUCAGGAAAGAUAUCACUCACAGAAGAAGCACCGGCUAACUCCGUGCCAGCAGCCGCGGUAAUACGGAGGGUGCGAGCGUUAAUCGGAAUUACUGGGCGUAAAGCGCGCGUAGGUGGCUUGAUAAGCCGGUUGUGAAAGCCCCGGGCUCAACCUGGGAACGGCAUCCGGAACUGUCAAGCUAGAGUGCAGGAGAGGAAGGUAGAAUUCCCGGUGUAGCGGUGAAAUGCGUAGAGAUCGGGAGGAAUACCAGUGGCGAAGGCGGCCUUCUGGACUGACACUGACACUGAGGUGCGAAAGCGUGGGUAGCAAACAGGAUUAGAUACCCGGGUAGUC
rnacentral:rRNA from 1 species